rnacentral:rRNA from 1 species
GACGAACGCUGGCGGCGUGCUUAACACAUGCAAGUCGAACGGAGUGGCGAACGGGUGAGUAACACGUGGGUGAUCUGCCUUGCACUUCGGGAUAAGCUUGGGAAACUGGGUCUAAUACCGGAUAGUGCAAGAUGAGCUCGCGGCCUAUCAGCUUGUUGGUGGGGUAAUGGCAUACCAAGGCGUGGACGGGUCGCCGGCCUGAGAGGGUGUACGGCCACAUUGGGACUGAGAUACGGCGCAGAGUCCUACGGGAUGCAGCAGGGGGGAAGAUUGCACAAUGGUCGGAAGCCUGAUGAAGCGACGCCGGGUGGGGGAUGAAGGCCUUCGGGUUGUAAACUCCUUUCGACAGGGACGCGGUACCUGUAUAAGAAGCACCGGCUAACUACGUGCCAGUAGCCGCGGUAAUUC